UUUAUGAAAGUAGAGGGGACCCGGCAAGGGAGCUAGCCGAGGUGCUGCAUGGUUGUCGUCAGCUCGUGUCGUGAGAUGUUGGUUAAGUCCCGCAACGAGCGCAACCCCUGUCCUGUGUUGCUACUCCGCAAGGAGAGGACUCUCAGGAGACUGCCGUGGAUAACACGGAGGAAGGUGGGGAUGACGUCAAAUCAUCAUGGCCUUUAUGUCCAGGGCUACACACGUGAUACAAUGGUACAGACAGAGGGCUGCAAGACCGUAAGGUGGAGCCAAUCCCUAAACUGUAUCCCAGUUCAGAUCGAGGGCUGCAAUUCGCCCUCGUGAAGUUGGAAUCGCUAGUAAUCGCAGAUCAGCAGGCUGCGGUGAAUACGUUCCCGGGCCUU
rnacentral:rRNA from 1 species